UUACGACCAUACAACGUUGAACACCGGUUUGCAUACGACCAGCGUCGUUAAGCAACACCGCGCUUGUUCAGUAUCUUGAUGGGUAACCGCUUGCGAAUACCAGGUGUUGUAA